rnacentral:rRNA from 1 species
GACGAACGCUGGCGGCGUGCUUAACACAUGCAAGUCGAACGAAGUGGCGAACGGGUGAGUAACGCGUAAUCAACCUGCCCUUCAGAGGGGGAUAACAGUUGGAAACGACUGCUAAUACCGCAUACUGAAGGAGGGGAUUGCGUCUGAUUAGCUAGUUGGAGGGGUAACGGCCCACCAAGGCGAUGAUCAGUAGCCGGUCUGGGGGGAUGAACCGCCACAUUGGGAAUGGGACCCCGCCCAGACUCCUACGGGGGGGAGGAGUUGGGAAUCUUUCGGAAUGGAAGAAAGGCUGACCCGGCAACGCCGGGUGGGUGAAGAAGGUUUUCGGGUCGUAAAACUCUGUUGUUAGAGAAGCGGUAUCUAACCAGAAAGCCACGGCUAACUACGUGCCAGCAGCCGCGUAAUAC